UCACUCCUGGGGACUUCGCGCGCCCCGGCCACACCCCCUCCCUCACCAUUGCCACCGAUGGCUGCCGUCUUCUCUUCUCGCGGGAUUAGAGCCAAUCGCGAGACCGGAAGCUACCUUCCUUCCCCUGCCUCAAGCCUACUCCCGGGUGGUGGGCGGGUCCCGGGGAGGGGUGGAGCUUGGGGGGGGUCUGAGCCCCGCCCCUCCCCGCGCGGCUCCCUGGGAAAUUAUUAGAAAGGUGACGGUAAGGCGGGAAAGACCCGGGAAAGUCCUUGUAGACCUUGGCAGUUGUGUCCGUGCAAGAAAAGCCUGAGUGUGAGUUUCACCGAGCUAGUGCGGCCUGACACAGGAUUCAGGCGUCCUAGAGAGCCUGGAGGAUUCCUGAGGGAAAAUAGAAACAAAAUAUAUGCAGUCAACCAAGCCAUUUUCUUUCAGACUUGUAAACGUUUUAAGUUUUUCUUAAAAUGUAUUCAUGAUCCAUUUUAGAGUGGUAUUAUGUAAGUAGAAUGGCAGGAAUAAGAAAACACCUUUACUACUACAUUUCCAUUGAAAUGGCCAAAAUUUAAAAGACGACACCAAAUGUUGACAAGGACUUAGAGCAACUGGACCUCUCAUCUGUUGCUGAUUUUAUUUAUUCAUCAGAGACGUACACAGAGAGAGAAGCAGAGGCACGGGCAGAGGGAGAAGCAGGCUCCAUGCAGGGAGCCCGACGUGGGACUUGAUCCCCGGUCUCCAGGAUCACACCCCGGGGCUGAAGGCAGGAACUAACCACUGCACCACUGGGACUGUCCUAUGAAAACGUUUCUGAAGUCGGAAUGAGUUAGGGGCAGAUGAAGCUAGGCAGGGAAAAAUAAGGGAAAGGCCCAAAGUCAGGCUCCUACCCAUCCCAAGGAAAUAGAUUAAGACAGUAAAAAUAGAAAAGAAAAAAAAAAUCAGGCUCCCUAGAUCUAAAAUGUAGGGAGUCUCUCCCGUUUGAUGGUUACCAAGCAAUCACAGAAACUCACCAGACCCAAAAACAGCCAUAUGACAUUCACUCAAGAAAGCAUGAAGAAACCCAAAGCCAUAGGCUCCCUGGUUAGGUUCUCAGUAAAAAAACAGCCAAAAAACCCUUCAGGGGCAACCUUGUUGGAUCCAUUCUCACUUCUGAGAGCUUUGUCUGUAUCUUUGCUUAAUAAACUUCUAUCACUUUACUCACA